CUUGUGAAUGUUUCGUUCGCUCAGAGAUUUCCAGUCCAUUUCGGACCAGCUGGUUGGGCUGGUUGAGGGCAGCCAUGGAAGAUCAGAGUUCACUGUUCUGCAUGCGUGGGGGGCCGUCGAUUUUCUUUUGGGGAGGCGCGCUGCGAAUCCAGCCGCCCUUUUGGUCUUUAUCUCAUCGGUUUUCCUCUCAGAUGUUGCGUUCGAGUGUUGCCGUUCCAGCUGCGCUUCAUCCUUCUUCUCAUCGCACGGGUUUAGCUCAAAGGGAUUUCUAGGUUUCGUAAAAAAAAGGGAGGAAGAUCUAAGGAAAAAGAACUGAAGUAAUCAAUAUGAGAACCCCCAGUCUGCUCACCAAUCUGCUUUAUAAUACAAUGAGUUUCGUUCACAUUCGUGGUUUGGAACCAUUCCAAUUUAACAAGAAGAUCAAAGUUCGAGUCUGUAGAAUAUGGCGACCAAAACUUAUCGGAUCAGAUGAUCAAUACCUGUUUACAGUGUGUACUGGUUGACCAAAUGAAUUCAGUUUGUGGGUAUGGAAGUACUCUCAUACAGUUCUGCACCAUGCUGUAAUGCUGUUAAUUAAAGGUGGAAAUUGAUUGUGAAAAGCUCAAGUUCACAUCAAUUCAGUCUCCCAGGUUUUAGAAAGAAAAAAAAACGGAAUUUUUGGUGCUAAAUUUGAUGGGAGAAGGAAGUUUUUGAGCUGUUACAAUUUAGAUCAGCCUUUCUUGAAGCAACUAAAUCACCAAGGAGGUUUUAGGUCAUUAAACACCAGUGAAAACUUCAAACAUGUUGAUCCAAUUUUAUCAAUUGGAAGCUCUGAUGGCUACAUAAUUGGAAGAGGAAGAGGAUGAAAGUAUUUCAGAAACAGGGGAACCAGUAACUAAAGUUUUGAUUCCUGGUCUACCAGAUGAAUCCAAAGGCGAAUUGGGUGCGCCAGUAAGUAGGUGCUUUUGGGAAUGGAAGCCCAAAUUCAAUGUGCAUUAUGAGAAAGCUGGAUGUGAAACCUUAGCAGCUGAAUGGAUGAUUGGUGUAUACUAUGGUACUCCACAAGUGACAUCUGGAGGAAUUGCAUUAAAAUUCUUUGCCACAUUUCGGCUUGAAAUACGUUCUACAGGGAAGAUAAAGUCUGUAAGAACAAUAGCCAUUGUUUCUUAUUGCAUGACAGCUAUUUUAUGGAUGAGUAUAUUUAUCUCUUUUUUGCAAGAUGGUAGUAGUGUAUGAGAGCGUCAAGAGGAGGCUGUGAGUAGAAGGUGGUUCUUUGCAGGCUAGACAAGCAAAAGUUCACUCUCUGGACUUGCUCCACUUGAAGCAGUGCUAUUUGAUAUUGAUAGAACUCUGUGUGAUUUAGAUCCCAUUCAUUUCAAUGCCUUCCACAAAAUGCUUCCAUAGUUUUUGCAAGAUGUUAACAGUGUACAAGAGAGUCAAGAAGAGGCUGUGAGUAGAAGGAGGUUCUUUGCAGGCUAGACAAGGUUGAAAAAGUUUUUUUUUAAUUUUUCCUGUUUUCGUUCGAAACUUUUUGUUUACUUAUUGUCCUUGAAUAUUAUGCUCAAAGUAGUUAAAUUUUUGUCCAAAAUGUUUUAUUUGUGUUUCUUGAUUUGAAUGAAAGUUUGGUAUUUCAUCCUUUUUUUUGGAAUUUUCUUUUAAAUUUGUUCAUAGCCAACUGCUAUUAUACCAUUUUUAAUAAUUUGUUACAAACUUGAUUUUAACCUAUGUAUUUCCUUGAACAUUAAUUUCUCACUGUUAACACAAGUCUUAUUGAUAGAUCAGCUCUUAUCGUUAAUUCUGCAAUCUACCAUAUAGGCUAAUUACGUCAUUUUAUAUUUCUUGAGUUGUAGCUAUUGUGCUACAAAUUUCAAGUGGAACCAAGUGUUAUUCUACUAAGAUUUGUAGGUGUUGGGACAUAAAUGGCAAUACAGUUUAUUUUCGUACUACAUCAGCUUACUUCUUCAUUAGAUUAACUUAACCUAUAAAUGGCAAUACAUGUAUUAGUUUUGACCAUAGGUGUCUAUAGAUUAUCUCUGCUUAUGUACAACAAACUUGCGAAGGAUUUGAUUCUAUUAUGGGUAUUUGAUUUGAUUCUAUUAAAGUUUGGAUCUUUUGGUUUCAUUCUGUUAUAGGUAUUUAAUAAUUUGUGCAAUGACUGAAAUUAUACUUUUGUCCACCAGAUUUGUACAAUGCUUGGCGUAUUUAAAUUGUGGUUUAUGCAAUUGAUUUUUUUGCCUUCAUUCUAUAAUAAUAGUCAAUUGUCUUCGCUAAAAUGUUCCCAUUUGUCCACACUAACACCUACCAUUUUCCAAAU